rnacentral:lncRNA from 1 species
GUCGAGCAGUCGAACGUAAAAUACUUGAAUUCGAGUCUAGGAAAAAAGGAUAGAAAUUUUGUUUUAAAUGACGCAGAAAAAGGAUUCGAAAUUCGUCAAACGAAUCCUAAUAAAAGUGGAGGCGGUUCACCAUUGUUUUAACGAUUAUGGUGUAGAACGCGCAUUCCUUAUGAAAGAAAACUCCAAUUUUAAGAAAUUGAAAGCUGUAACAGCCAAAGAUAUUGGCAUCCCAGGCUGUUGUUUACGAUAUCUAUACAACGGAGGAUUCUUCAACGAAACGGAGACACCACAGUCAAUGGGUAUGGAGGAUGGAGAUACCAUAGACAUAUUUUGUAUAAUGGGAGGUCCACCCAAAAAAGCCAUAGAGAUAGAACAACUUUUCGGUGAGUUGAACAAAAUGUGGAACAGCAUAUUAUGAACAUCCACUUAACACCCACAGAGAAUUUCCUGCUGCGCCAGAAUGUGCCUGGAGCACAAUGGUAAGUGCCAAGAACAAAAAUGUUAAUUUAAUAAGAAAUAAUUGCAAUUUUUGGCAGGAUGAUUUCUAUGAAAAGUCUACUCUCUAUACAAAAACCUGACACUGAAAACCGCAAAUACACCAAAUUG